AUGAAUUGGCUUUGUCACUACAGAGUGCUAUGUAGACAUAGCUUCAAAUCACCAUUCUGUCAGGAUUACUGCCCUCGAGUCCCUGCACCAGAAUUCCUGGAGAGGGCUUUAGAGUCUCUCCCCUCCCCUGACUUCACUCUGCUUGUAAAGUCAACGUGUCCUCCCCCUUGGCUCACCCCUCGGCCUCGAUUUCUCCCUGAUUCAACUUCCCUGUCUCCUCUGGGCCCACUCCCUCCCCAUUGCCUCAUCUGCUGCUCUGUCUUGAUGGGCUGGUUCUCUACCCUUUGCCUGCAGACUUGCUGGGGACCCACCUUCUCUUGUUUCCAGCUGGACCUGGACCAGAAUUGUGAGGCAGUUUCUCUGGUGGUGAAAUACUUCAUAUCAGGUGCAAAUUAUGGUCACCCCUGAAUAGCUGCCCUCAAUAGGCCUUACCCAUGCAUGCGUCUGUUACGGGAAUUCAUCAAUGUUUUCAGGUUUCAUCCAAUCAUCCCCUUCUGACAUUAUGAAAUAAAUCUCCGAGGCAGGUAGGCACGGCAGCAGUUUUGAUUGAAGGAAGGAGUUUGGGGGCAGGUGGGAGGAGGGCAGACGCAGCAGGAAAAUGAAAGUAAUAUUUACUGAACAUUUGUUUGGAGCAUUUAAAUAUCGAAGGAAGGAGAUCUCAGCAUACUAAGUCAUAAGUACUCACAACAAGCCUGUGAGGACAAUGUUGUUAUUCUUGUCACACAAAUAAAGAUACUGGGACUUAAAGAAUUUAACUAUUUUGUCUCAGGUCAGACUAUCAAUAGGAAACAGAACCAGGACUAGAAUCCACACUUUGGAAUUGGCCCCAAAGCCCAUUGCUCUAUGAGGUCAUAAUUCCUGAGACUACUAGAUGACUACUUUUUAGCCUUCCCAGAUGAUCCCUUGUGUCUAGAAUCCCCCAGCUGAACUUUAAGGAGGCUGAACCCUGCCUCCGCUGGGCUUCACUUUAGAACAUCCUUGCUUUCUGGCUCCACAAAGCCCAAGGAAAGACUUUUCCCUUUGAAGUACUGCUUCUCUCUCAGAGAAGGUUGGUUGUGUGGAGCCUUUCGUGUAUCAGGAAAACUUUUACACUCCAGAGUCGUCUCUGACCAAAUGAAAAUCACGGAGGAGACAGAAGAUUUUAAAUGAGAGGAAACGAAGGGUUUAAACUGAGCUGAACAUGAAUUCUAAGUAAAGAAGAAGGCUGUGAGCUUGAAACUGUGUGCUCUUUCUUAACCAUGGGAGCCCUGCUGAGCACAUUGGGAAAUGGCCAUUCUUAGGCCUGGUUUCACAACAUCACCAGGUCUUCCUAUGUUUCCAGCAUUGAGCGAGGCUGUGGAAUUGGGGAAGGAAUCACAAAAAUGCUCACGAUCUAGAGGCUGAGCUGGAGAAACAAACAAAAGUGCUGCAGACUGAUCAUUUCUGGAAGCAAGUUCUGCAUAAAGGAUAUGUCAUGAUCUUGGGGUCAUGGGAUGGAGCCCCACAUCAAGACCCUCAUCGGACUCCAUGCUGAGUGUGCAGCCUGCUUAAGAUUCUGUCUCUCUCUCCCUCUCUGAAUCCCUCUCUCCACUUGCACUCUUUCUCUCUCUCUCAAAUUAUAAAAAAAAAUUUUUAAUUUAAAAGUUAGUUACAGUAUGGAGUCUGAAACUAUACCAAUGAAAUUUUCAUACUCUGUUACAUUAAGCCCAUUAGGGCUAUCUUGCACUUUGAAUGGAUCCUUUACUCAUGGCAUGAUUUUGUAACCUCUUGCAUUGGUUAUUUGGAAAAGACAGGUUCAUUGAGUUAAACACAUCUUCCAAAUGUUGACAUAUUUCAUUAUAUAAUAUAUACAAAAUCACAUUAAUUAGUAUCACCAUCAACCUCAUUGCAGUCUUUAAGUAUUAGGAAGCUAUUAAGCUCAUGGUAGUACGUACAAGUUUUAAAGUUCUAAUUUUUGUUUGAAAGCUUGAGUUUUAUCUUUGGUAACAAACACUUUCAGUUAUUUUCCUUGAAGUGACAGAUGGGCUUUAUUCAUUAUAAAACAAGAACAAGAACAACAACAACAACAAAGGUCUGCCAAGAACCUAAGUUUGAAUAACCACAAACUAUGGUUUAUGGUUUAUGGUCAGUAGUUUUUGGUUUUGGUUUCUUUUUUUUUUUUUCCCCAGCGAAAACUGUAUUUCAUGAUAAAAGCAGCUAGUUCCAUUUACAGCUCAAAAAAUCAAACAAGUGCUUUUUCUCAAGGCAGCCAUUGCACUUUGUAUGCAGAAGUGCUUUAUGCGUACUUCCCAUUUGUCACCCAGAAUA